rnacentral:rRNA from 1 species
GUACAACCGGUUCUCGUUAGAUCACCGAAGUCAAGCAUCAUUGUACGCGGUCAGUACUUGGGUGGGUGACCACCUGGGAACACUGCGUGCCGUU